GACGAACGCUGGCGGCGCGCUUAACACAUGCAAGUCGAACGGAAAGGCCUGCUUUCCCUUGUGGAUUGCGGGUACUCGAGUGGCGAACGGGUGAGUAACACGUGAGUGAUCUGCCCCCAACUUGGGUAUAAGCCUGGGAAACUGGGUCUAAUUCCCGAUAGGACUGCAGGGUGGUGCCUGUGGUGGAAAACGAUGUUCUAGUGGUUGGGGAUGAGCUCGCGGCCUAUCAGCUUGUUGGUGGGGUAAUGGCCUACCAAGGCGGCGACGGGUAGCCGGCCUGAGAGGGUGGACGGCCACAUUGGGACUGAGAUACGGCCCAGACUCCUACGGGAGGCAGCAGUGGGGAAUAUUGCACAAUGGGCGGAAGCCUGAUGCAGCGACGCCGCGGGGGGGAUGACGGCCUUCGGGUUGUAAACUCCUUUCGACCGCGAGGAAGCCACCUGGUUGGAAGGGUGGUGACGGUAGUGGUAGAAGAAGCACCGGCUAACUACGUG
rnacentral:rRNA from 1 species